rnacentral:lncRNA from 1 species
CAAAACUUUGAAUUUUUUGUAAAUACUAAGGCUUUUCUACCUCAGGCAUAGAUUGCCUUAGCUGUAUUUGGCUAAACUUUCAGGAAUGUUGGUCCUCAACGCUCUUCAACUGCGUACUUUAUUGGGACUUUUUAAUUUUUUUGGAUCUGAGCGUCACAGAUGAGUCUUUUGUAGACGAAACGGGCGUCUGGCGUAUAUACAAAAUUUAGUCCUGGUAUCUUUGAUGAGUUUAUUUCCGAAUAGAAGUUUACUCCGAAAAUUUCUUCCCUAUCAACAACAACUGAUCAAUAUCAAGCCCAAACAGCUGCACUAUAACGGAUUCUGAUAGUUCUAUCAUAGCUUGUUUCCGUAUGAUAUUAAUAGAAAUGCAGUUACAUUAAAUUUAGAUCUUUUUCAGUUAACGUUAUGUUUUAUUACAUUGAUAUUAUAUGAUUUAAUUCUUAAAGUAUUUGGUACAUUUAAGAUAGCAAAGAACCAGGAAAAAAUAAUAUUAUAUUUUAGGAAAUUUCUCUACCUUAGUUAAGAAGUUUCACUUCGCGAAGGACUAAAUGAUACUUUAAGUCAAGUACAUAUGAAUAGAUUAACAUCUGAUGACAGGAAGAUUGCUCCGCAUCAGUUUAUUUAUAAUCUGAAAAAAAACCCCGAAUAUAUGUCUUAUGUAUUUAGACAACAAUAAAAUGUAGAUCUAUAAAGUACAAGGAUUUUUUAUAUGCCACAAAUUGACCCAAUUCAUAAAUGUCAUGACCUAAAUGUUUAUAAUUCAUAGUUUUUGAAAAAUUAGUGACGCCC